GAAAGAAUAGCUCAAAUAGGUAGAGCUUUGAGCUCAUAACUCAAUGUGUAUAGGUUCAAAUCCUAUUUCUUUCA
rnacentral:tRNA from 1 species